UACGUAGGGGGCAAGCGUUGUCCGGAAUCAUUGGGCGUAAAGCGCGUGUAGGCGGUUUGGUAAGUCCGCUCUGAAAGUCCGGGGCUCAACCCCGGGAGGCGGGUGGAUACUGUCAGACUAGAGUGCGGAAGAGGCGAGUGGAAUUCCCGGUGUAGCGGUGAAAUGCGCAGAUAUCGGGAGGAACACCAAUUGCGAAGGCAGCUCGCUGGGACGUGACUGACGCUGAGACGGCGAAAGCGUGGGGAGCAA
rnacentral:rRNA from 1 species